rnacentral:tRNA from 1 species
UUAAAAGCAGUAUUGGAUUAUAUCAACUUUGGGAGUUGGAGGUUAGAGCUUCUACUUUUAAA